CAAUACAGUGAAAAAAGAACAAAGUGGUGUUCGUCGCCAGAGUGUGUAUUUUCAGUGUAUAUUUUCUCUUGUUUGCUGCUCGUGUGUGUGUACACUCGCGUGAGUCUUUGCCGGAGAUCGUAAGUCGCUCCCCGGUAGUUUGAUUCCUGGGCUAAGCCAACAACUGCCACUAGAGGGUGGGGCGAAGGCGAAGGCAGUUGAGGUAAGGAGUGGGUAGAUUUGAGAAAUUUGGGUUUUAGCUACUGCUACCUCCGUUUUCAUAAGAUUUUUGAUUUUUUUUCGGUAAUAUUUGACUAUUCAUCUUAUUUAAAAAUUUAGUAUAAAUAUAAAAAAUAAUAAGUUGUGCUUAAAGUUCUUUUGAUAAUAAAGUAAGUCACAAGCAAAAUAAAUGAUAUUUUUAACCAAAAAAUUCAAACAUCUUAUGUUAUGAAACGAAUGGAGUAGUAAAUAUUCGCUCAAUUAAUGUGCUAAUUGGCCUAUUAGACUAAGUAUGUGCUCAUUCCUUCUCCUUUGGGCCUCGUGGAUUCCUUGCAUGUUAGAUGGCACUCCUGGCCCUGGCCCUUAAUGUAUGGGUCACUGUCCGGGCCUGGGCGGCUGGGCCCGAAGGAAGAAAGUGCUAACACUAAUUUUUUGAAGUUUAUUUAUUAAAUAAUUUACAAAUUUAAUUUUGGAUUUCAAAAAAUCAUAAAACUAACCUCCUACCGCUCUUUAGGAGGACGGAAAGGUGACGUGCAAACGGCCGGCAACGGUGGCACGGAAAAUUUUUCAUUUUGGUCCUUUCCACCCUUACAGAGGAUGGAAAUGGGAAAACUACAAAAAUGUUGCGUGUGUCCGGGAAUUUUUCUUUUCGAUUGAAUCGCGGUUUGAUAAUAUAUGUAUAAUGUAUGUACUUAUCUAAUCACAACUACUAUCUUAGCAUAGUGGUUAGUGUUCCCCUCUUCCUUCAAGAAGACUAGAGGUCGCGAAUCCUAUAAGAGCAUAUUUUCUUCUAUUUUUGUUAACCCAAGAAAAAAUUUGCUCUGACGGGGAUUCGACCUCAGGGUUCCCCUUACCCCGCAACCCACCAAAACUGCGGAUACCGCACGGCAACUACAAAAACCGUGAUGAAUUUAAAUCCAAAAAAAUUGAAUUUAAACUCGCGCGGUUUUCACGGCUUACCACGUGGUUUGCCGUGGUAACCACGGUAACUACUUGCUGGAACAACACAUGAGAACGGCGGUUACCGUGGCUUCCCGCGUGGUUUUUUAGCCGAAACGUGGUUACCGCGAGGAGACCACGGGUGUGAUGUCAAAUGCAAAAAAAACUUUAAAAAAUCUAAAAAAAUACAUGAAAAAUAGAAAAAUAUUUUGUGACUAUAUUUAUAACAUAGGAAAAAUAGGACAUGUUAUAGGGAAAACAAGAAAAGUUUUACAUGAUAUUUUCUAAAUUCUUAAUAUUGCAGCAUACAAACAUACACUGUCAUAUCACCUUUCAUCAAAUAAUUCAUACCAAUAACUUCAUUUUGAUUGAUGCGUCACAACUAUACCUACUAUCCAUUAUUACUUAUAAAACUAUUAUGUGUACUAAGAUGCAUGUAUAAUUUUUCUCUAUACAUAUUUUCCAUAUAUCCAUCGUUAUAUAUUUAUAUUUCAACAUUAUGUACCCUAGUGUCUAGUGUAAGUAAUAAUGACCCAACACAAAAUAUUGUUGACCAUCUUCCUAUGAAAUAUUACUUGCAAUAGGCUAUUUUUUAAUUUUUGUUUCCCGAAAUACUCGUUUAUGAUUUUUAGUUACGUCGGGAAUAUAUUUUUUCAUUUUCUUUGACAAAACUACACUAUAUAUCAACAUAUACAACAUAUAUUUUUUUCAUUAAAUUUUCUCAAAUUUUUUAAAUUCUCCUAAAAUUUAAACUCGGUUACAGCGGCUUACUGAAGCCGUGCCUCCGCGGAGGACGCGGUUAACCGUGGUAACGUAAACCCUGUUCGACCUCUAGUCUCCUAGGUAGAAAAGGAGGAUAGCAAACACUUAGCCACCAAAGCAUUUGUGACUAAUUAAUUACAUACGUUAUACAUAUAUAUCAAACUGCGGUUCAAUUCAAGAAUUCCCAAUUCAUUUGAAAAAUUCCAAACGUGUGCUACACUUUUGUAGUUUGCCCCUUGCGGAAAGGACCUAAAUGAAACGUUCACCAUGUCACUGUUGCCGGCCGUCCCUCACGGCCGAGCGGCCGUUUGCCACGUCACCUUCCGUCCUCCUGGAGGGCGGCAGGAGGUUAGUUUUGUGGUUUUUUAAAAUUCAAAAAAUUCGUGCUAAACAAUAUAUAUAUAUAUAUAUAUAUAUAUAUAUAUAUAUAUAUAUAUAUAUAUAUAUAUAUAUAUAUAUAUAUAUAAGACCAAUCCUAUCUGCACAUGCACAGGGGUUGAAGAGUAACAGUAACCGAACAACAAAACCUGUUAGCGGAAAUAAAAUAUACCUCUAAUAUAGAUAAAGUUUGUUGUCAGUCUAUAUGUUGCCUUGCUGCCGAAAACCACCCACAAGAAAGAAUGCAACUUUGACAAAACUGUUAAAUAUAGAUUAACUUUGAUAAUAUAUUAAGACGUGUCUAUAAAGUGUAUACAAAACACUCUGCUCCCUCUCAAAAGUAAGCCCUACAUGGCUAGCGUUUCUACCUUACAAAAGUUCUAUUUUUAUGGACUCAAGUAUCAACCUAUCUUAAAUUUAUACUUAUAUUGUCCCACUAGAACUCAAUGCCAUGUAUUCCAAACCAAUUACUUCCUCCAUAUUUUUUUUAUGAUACCGUUAAUUUUUAUAUUUAUAUGUGAUCAUUCAUCUUAUUUAAAAAAUUUAUCCAAAUAUACAAAAUUAUAUAUCAUACUUAAAAUUCUCAUAAUAAUAAAUCAAAUUAUAAUAAAAUAAUUAAUAAUUAUAUAAUUUUUUGAAAUAAGAUAAAUGGUGAAACGUAAAUAUAAAAGUCAAUAUAUCUUAUAAAAAACAUAGAGAGAGUUUUAAUUAUAAUAGCAAAACGUACAGAUAACCAUCGGUACAUCAGCUGUACUGUGGACUCCUUUGCACGUACCAACGCGUACGCGUCCACGUUCAGGCUGAAUCCUGCUCGAUUUCCUGCGAGUGCCUCCUGUAGUGUGUCGCUGAUACGGUCCUGUGUACAUACAUACGAAUGUCCAACUCCUGAUUAUACCCUAACGACCGGCCACCGUACGUACACGGAUAGCCUUCGGCCUUGAGUCCACACGUACAUGUGUUGCAUGUUGACUCCGGUCAACAGUACUAGAACAUAGCACACUGUAGCACCAUAUAUGCGCUCCAAUGUUUCUCGAUCCGUUCUUCAAUUUUCUGCACGACUUUUGCUGCACUUGCACACAUAAUUACGUGAAACCCGUUAUAAAGGGGUGAUUUUUUUUUAGAAAAAAAUAAUCCAUGUAAAAUACUUAUAUAUACAUAUUAUUAGUGGUUUAAAAGUCAAGGCUGGAAACCAAAGUACGAUGGAAAAAACAUCUAAAAUCUACUCUAAAUUUAAGAUUAAAAAUUUAAAUUUUAGCUUUCAAGCAUAAACAUAAGGUUAACAGAUUAAAAUCUUCUUGUAGAAGAUGUAAGAGUGCAAUAUGUUACCAUCAAUUUCAUUAUUAUUACAUUAAGACACUAUUGGGUAAGGGGUAAUUGUUUGGCUUUAUUUAUAAAAAAGUCAAACGACAUAUUUGGAAGUAAAAAAUAAUUUAUGAAUAAAAAUUUUAUUUACGUUGUGAGAUAUCUAUAUUAGGGGUAUCUGUAGACUACAUGUAUACAUACGGUCAUAGGGAUACCGAAUAGAAAUAUGUACUGGAUCGACUGGGAGUUCGGUAACUGAUGGAUUACAUACCGUAAAAGUAUCGGGUUAGACCGUAUCCUAGAAUAGACCUCUAAGUCUAUUCCCCGCUAUAUAACGGGGUACGUGGCACUCCUAAGAGAAGACAGAGGACACGCGAUCAUACAUAACCAAAUACAACCUUAGCAGGAGUAGUUAUUAUCUCAUUAGCUGAGAGCAUGAACAUGAGUAACCUCUGCCUUUAUCCUAACCAUCGACUACACCGUCUUUUAGCCAUCCUAUAGUUUAUUGCUAACCCAGAUCAUCGACAUACGUAUUUUUAGUGAUUUAAAAGCUAAGGCUGAAAAAUAAACUUAGAUGAAAAAACUCUAAAAUCAACUCUAAAUUUAAAGUGAAAAUUUUAAAUUUUGGCUUAUAACAGAAACAGAAGUGAGAAAAUUAGUGUGCAUGAUGAGGGUGGUAUUAUAUACUUUUAUCUUUGGGAUUAUAGAAUAUUGGCCUACCAACUUGAAAAGGCACUAAUUAUAGCCGAUAUAAUGCCUAGAGUUAACUUGAUCUGUGCCAUUGCAAUUAUACAUAUUUAGAUAAAUGUUAUUAUAAUUUGUCUAUUCGUAACCAUGUCACUCAAAUUUUAUAAAAUUAAAACCAUGCUAUUGUCAUCAUGUUUUUUAUUUUUUUUCUCAUUUACAAGUGGGAUCCAUCCAUCGAAUUCAUCUUCUUCCCCUCUUCACUUUUCCCACCCCUCUCUCUCUCUCCACCGGUGGACUUGCACAGGCAGAUAGCACAGUCGAAGGAGUCCUUGCCAUCCACGCCGCCGCUGCCACCCACGCAGUCGAGCGAGUCCUUGCUGCUCGAGCGGCGGCUGGCACAUCAAGUUGCUCAUUUUUCACGUCCCGGCGCAAAUUAAGAAUCAAACAAGAACAUAUCCAAACCAAAAAAAGACUGCCAUUAUACACUCUACGAUCUAAAGCUCGAAUUUUUCUAAAGACACGAUAUAAUCUUGCUGUGAUGAGCUAGGGGCAGGAGAAGGAUCUUGGCAUGGCAGCCCCUGCCAACGAGCCGCUGUAGAUUCGUCUGCAGAAGGACAAACGACAAGAGCUGAGAUGGUGGCGACGGAAGAAAAGAAAAGAGCAGUAGCAGUUGCACAUUCAGGGGAAGGGAAGCUUCAUGUCUCAAGGCCCGUUCGAUUGUGCCGCCUGCCCAUGUGAGUUUGCCGGUGGAAAGAGGGGGAAUGUAAAGAUGGGAGAGAAGAAGAUGAAUAUGACAGCUGGGCCUCACAUGUUGAUAAGGAAAGAGAUGAAAAACGUGACGACGAUGACAUGAUUUUAAUUUUAUAAAAUUUAAAUAUCAUAUCUAUAUACAGACGAUGAAUUGUAAUGGCAUUUCUCUGAAUAAGUAUAGUUACAAUGGCAGAAUCAAAUUAACCCUUCGAUUUAAG
rnacentral:lncRNA from 1 species